AUGGCAUCAGACGAAGGCAAGCUUUUCGUUGGAGGGCUGAGUUUUGAUACCAACGAGCAGUCAUUGGAGCAGGUGUUCUCCAAGUACGGGCAAAUAUCUGAAGUGGUGGUCGUGAAAGACAGGGAGACUCAGCGGUCACGGGGUUUUGGGUUUGUCACCUUCGAGAACAUCGAUGAUGCCAAGGAUGCCAUGAUGGCCAUGAACGGGAAGUCUGUAGAUGGGCGACAGAUUCGAGUGGAUCAGGCGGGCAAGUCAUCGGACAACCGCUCCCGUGGGUACCGAGGCGGCUCCGCUGGGGGCCGGGGCUUCUUCCGUGGGGGCCGAGGCCGGGGCCGUGGGUUCUCAAGAGGUGAGUGCCACUUGGGGCCUGGGGUCCUCGGGGAUGCGGAAGGCUGUGCUGGCAACAGCGGGGACUCAUGCCUUUCUGUUCUCGGAGUCCACAGGAGGAGGGGACCGAGGCUACGGGGGGAGCCGGUUCGAGUCCCGGAGUGGGGGCUAUGGAGGUUCCAGAGACUAUUAUGGCAGCAGGAGUCAGGGUGGCGGCUAUGGUGACCGGAGCUCGGGCGGGUCCUACAGAGACAGCUACGACAGCUACGGUUGAAGGGGAACAAGCCAGAACCCAGGAAAAGGAGGAUGAGCAGCAGCAGCCUCAGGUCCUAGGAGGAUGCGGACCUGGGACGGUUUUCCAGGGGAGCGAGAGAGCCAGAGACGCAGCUGCCCGCUGCCAGCCUGUCCUGGUGCAUUGUUGAAGACUGGGUGUCGGCUCCACAGUCCUGGACAGGUCUCAGUGUGUGGUGGCUUGAGGUGGGACAGCACCUGGAGGGUCACACUGGAAUAAAGGGCUACAUGUGCACCAGCAUCUCUGUGUCUUUCGUCUGGGGGUGCCAGCAGGGGUGGGUGUGGUGGGGGGGGGGGGCUGAAGCACCCCAGGGCUGGGGCCUGCCAAGUAAAGCAAUGCCCGGGGUGUGCUGAGGGCAGGAGCCUAGGUCCUUUCAUCAUCUGGGACUGAAGCACUGGGUGGGGAGCUUCACGAUAAGGGCAAUGGUUUGGCACGCUGUUGACGUUGGAAGGGCCUUCUCGGGUGCUUCCGUCUGCUACUGACUCCAGUCCUGAGCUCAGGACCCUGGGUGAGCUUUCCCCUGGUGGGCCCUGUGUUGGCCACACACUGGCUGCCACAUCGGGGCUCCAUCUGCUUGGCAGGGUAGGGCAGCAGCCCCAGAGCUCUUGUCCCAGACUGGCCCCAUUCCUCCUGGCCAUCACUAAGCUGUUGGGGGGGCUGGUGUUUUCUUUGCCUCUUGGCAGCCGGGACAGGAGAUACUGUCUGCUCAAGGCUGGUCAUCUGUCCUGCCACUUCUGUGGAGCUACAGCAGCACGACAGGGAAGGGGACAGCCCUAGCUUGGGCCUGUGCCUGGGAGACCCAGACUCCGGAGCAGGAGUGAUAGGGAACACCCAGGCUUAGCCUGCCUGGAGGCCCUAUGGGUCUCCCCAGUUAGGCUUGUCCCUUUUUGGAGAAGGAAAUACACACAGUUUACUGCUCCACAGCAAGUCACCUUGAGGUGAGAUGGCUGUGUCCUUGGCCUUGUUCUGCAAAGAGCACCUGGGGUCCCUGGCCUGGAUCCCUGGCUCGGCCCCCCUCCCGUGCCUCUCAGUGCCCCACACAGGGUACCCACAGCUGGUGCUCAGCGAUUGUUGGGUGCCAUGCUGCCUCGCCUGCACCACCUGACACCCAGGUGUUACUGUCCCAUCCCCACACAAGGGGACCCAGUUCCCAGGGAGACUCGGAGACUUAUCCGAGUCCCCACAACCGGGAGUCAGUGCUUUGAGGCCACAGCUCCUCACUGGUCUGUGACCCAGAGCUGCUUGGG